AGCUCCAAUAGCGUAUAUUAAAGUUGUUGCGGUUAAAAAGCUCGUAGUUGGAUCUCGGUUUCGGGCGGGCGGUGUACCUUGCGGUAUUUACUGUCUGCCCGGACGAUUUUGUUGGUUCGUGUGUGGUUUUCUUAAUCGAAUGCCACAUGUGGCCAGCACGUUUACUUUGAAAAAAUUGGAGUGCUCAAAGCAGGCGCUACAGCCUGAACAUUAGUGCAUGGAAUAAUAGAAUAGGAUCUCGAUUCUAUUUUGUUGGCUUUCGGAGUCGAGGUAAUGAUUAAUAGGAACAGACGGGGGCAUUCGUACUGCGACGUUAGAGGUGAAAUUCUUGGAUCGUCGCAAGACGAACUACUGCGAAAGCAUUUGCCAAGAAUGUUUUCA
rnacentral:rRNA from 1 species